rnacentral:rRNA from 1 species
UACGUAGGGUGCGAGCGUUGUCCGGAAUUAUUGGGCGUAAAGAGCUCGUAGGCGGUCUGUCACGUCGGCUGUGAAAACCCGGGGCUCAACCCCGGGCCUGCAGUCGAUACGGGCAGACUAGAGUGCGGUAGGGGAGACUGGAAUUCCUGGUGUAGCGGUGAAAUGCGCAGAUAUCAGGAGGAACACCGGUGGCGAAGGCGGUUCUCUGGGCAUGUCCUGACGCUGAGGAGCGAAAGUGUGGGGAGCGAACAGG